rnacentral:rRNA from 1 species
CAGUAGCCGCGGUAAUACGUAGGGUGCAAGCGUUAAUCGGAAUUACUGGGCGUAAAGCGUGCGCAGGCGGUUAUAUAAGACAGAUGUGAAAUCCCCGGGCUCAACCUGGGAACUGCAUUUGUGACUGUAUAGCUAGAGUACGGCAGAGGGGGAUGGAAUUCCGCGUGUAGCAGUGAAAUGCGUAGAUAUGCGGAGGAACACCGAUGGCGAAGGCAAUCCCCUGGGCCUGUACUGACGCUCAUGCACGAAAGCGUGGGGAGCAAACAGGAUUAGAGACCCGUGUAGUCCCUGUCUCUUAUAA